AUUUGGUGCUGCAAGUGUUAACAACACUACAAAAUUUUUUGCUGCUAGUUUUAAAUAAAUAAAACUAGCAGCUGCGGUAUUUUGUUUAAUUUUUCGUUACACACAACAAAAUGUUGAACUUGAAUUUAACAACGGAUCGCACUGGACAGGCGACUGCUGAGCCAGCCAGCGAUUUACCUUUAACUGCUUUACUCUGUUGGGCCACAAUUUUAUAACUUAUAAUUUGUUUGAGAAAUGGGGUUGACGAUGAAAGUAAUAAAUAAAUAAAACUAUAUGCUGCUUUAAUUAGGUAACA